rnacentral:rRNA from 1 species
AUUGAACGCUGGCGGCAGGCCUAACACAUGCAAGUCGAACGGUAGCACAGAGAGCUUGCUCUCGGGUGACGAGUGGCGGACGGGUGAGUAACGUCUGGGAAACUGCCCGAUGGAGGGGGAUAACUACUGGAAACGGUAGCUAAUACCGCAUAACGUCGCAAGACCAAAGUGGGGGACCUUCGGGCCUCACACCAUCGGAUGUGCCCAGAUGGGAUUAGCUAGUAGGUGGGGUAAUGGCUCACCUAGGCGACGAUCCCUAGCUGGUCUGAGAGGAUGACCAGCCAAACUGAAACUGAGACACGGUGCAGACUCGUACGUGAGGCAGCAGUGGGGAAUAUGGCACAAUGGGCGCAAGCCUGAUGCAGCCAUGCCGCGUGUAUGAAGAAGGCCUUCGGGUUGUAAAGUACUUUCAGCGGGGAGGAAGGCGGUGAAGUUAAUAGCUUCACCGAUUGACGUUACCCGCAGAAGAAGCACCGGCUAACUCCGUGCCAGCAGCCGCGGUAA